AUUUAUCCAUAAAACUUUCAGUAAUGUUUUUAUUGCUCUUCAUUCACCAUGGAGACUAAUUUAGCUUCAUUUACUUCAUGCUGAAGUUUAACCGCUUUUAGUAAAAAUUUAAAAUCUUUACUUCUUGUUUACCUUUUUUAGUACUUACUGCGAAACUGAUUGCAAAGAACAAUUUUUAAAUUCACAGCAUAAUAAUAACUGUUGUUAUGGUGGAUUAUCUUCAUGAAGUAACAUUGAACAAAGUGGAGAUAAAGAUUGGAGAUACAUUUGUUUUGUAAUUUUUAUAUUGUGUAAUUUAUUGUUGCAGUUGUUUUUAGUCUUUAAAUCGUUUCAACAGUUUACUAAAUAAUGACUGAAAUCAACACAAAGAAUAUUUAAUUGCUGUCAGUUUAUUUUCUGUAUGUAUUGAUGUUAACUUUUACAACUUAAACAGUGUGUAGUUAAGGUUUAUAUGGGUGAUGCCCGUCCCACCCUGACGGUGCUGCCCCCCUCCAGUGAGCAGCUGCAGCAGGGGGAGGCCACGCUCAUGUGCCUGGCCAACAAGGGCUUCCCCUCAGACUGGAGUCUGUCCUGGAAGGUGGACGGCAGCAGCAGCAGCAGCAGCAGCAGCAGCAUCAGCAGCAUCAGCUGGGAGCUGAGCAGCAGCCCCGGGGUGCUGGAGAAGGACGGCCACUACAGCUGGAGCAGCACCCUGAGGCUCUCUGCAGACCAGUGGAGGAAGGUGGGCUCUGUGACCUGUGAGGCCACCCAGGGCUCCCAGACUCCGCUCGCAGAGACUCUGAGGAGAGACCAGUGUCCCCAGUCCUGA